rnacentral:snoRNA from 1 species
AAAAAAUUAGUGGUUUAUUGCUAGUCUAACCUCUCGUAAACUUCAGGAACAAAUCACCAUUGCUUUUGGGUGAACUUCUAUUAUUUAUUUGUGACUCAAGGUUCAGUUAAUGAUGGAAAAAAA